rnacentral:ncRNA from 2 species
AUGAAAAUAACGGGAGAUGCUUAUUAUAUUGAGGCUUCAAUCGUAAGAGCCGAAGGAGCAAUUUGAAAAAUGUCUAUUUUCAGAGAAACUUUCAGGCAAAAGUACCGUUAUUGGAUG